rnacentral:misc_RNA from 1 species
GAUGAAGAACGUAGCGAAAUGCGAUAAGUAAUGCGAAUUGCAGAAUUUCCGUGAGUCAUCGAGUCUUUGAACGCACAUUGCGCCCCCUGGUAUUCCGGGGGGCAUGCCUGUCCGAGCGUCAUUGCCGCCCUCAAGCACGGCUUGUGUGUUGGGCCCCCGCCCCCCGGCUUCGGGGGGCGGGCCCGAAAGGCAGCGGCGGCACCGCGUCCGGUCCUCGAGCGUAUGGGGCUUCGUCACCCGCUCUGUAGGCCCGGCCGGCGCCCGCCGGCGACCCCAAUCAAUCUUUCCAGGUUGACCUCGGAUCAGGUAGGGAUACCCGCUGAACUUAAGCAUAUCAAUAAGCGGAGGA